rnacentral:rRNA from 1 species
UACGGAGGGUGCGAGCGUUGUCCGGAAUCAUUGGGCGUAAAGCGCACGUAGGCGGUUCGUUAUGUCGGAUGUGAAAGCCCUUGGCUUAACCGAGGAAGUGCAUCCGAAACUGGCGAGCUAGAGUACGAAAAGAGGAUCGCGGAAUUCCCCGGUGUAGAGGUGAAAUUCGUAGAUAUCGGGAGGAACACCGGUGGCGAAGGCGGCGAUCUGGGUCGAUACUGACGCUGAGGUGCGAAAGCGUGGGGAGCAAACAGG